AGAGAUGUAGAUGCUCCUAUUCUUGUACCCACUAAAGAGGUUAAGGUCGUGGGACAGGCUCUUAACACAUUCCUUGCUUGGCCGACACAUCUAGUCAAGCGUUUAUCAGAACAGGGAGCUGUGAGACCCGCGAAACCUGCAGAUAGGCCGGAUGAUGAGGUCGAUGAUCCGCUAUAUCUAAUGACAUUGACCAUUCCACAGCUUUUUCUGAAGCCAUUGCAGGUUAUGUGGGAUGCUACCUUGUUUGGCCUAUUUAAUGAAAACUUUCCCUUGUACAUAAAGCAUGAAGAUCUGUCUGAAAUUGCACAUGGUGGUCAAUGUCUCAGCAUAUCUGUUAUACAGUUGUGGAUUCUGCAUAUGACUGAGACAAGUAUGCGAGCUGGGAAUAUCGAU